UACAGAGGUCUCAAGCGUUGUUCGGAUUCAUUGGGCGUAAAGGGUGCGUAGGUGGCGUGGUAAGUCGGGCGUGAAAUUUCGGAGCUUAAACUCCGAAACUGCAUUCGAUACUGCCGUGCUUGAGGACUGGAGAGGAGACUGGAAUUUACGGUGUAGCAGUGAAAUGCGUAGAGAUCGUAAGGAAGACCAGUGGCGAAGGCGGGUCUCUGGACAGUUCCUGACACUGAGGCACGAAGGCCAGGGGAGCAAACGGG
rnacentral:rRNA from 1 species